GCAGUGCAGCUUCCUGUAAAUCAGUCGUUACUAUAGAAACAAAAUAUAAACCUGUACUACUGUGAAUUAAUCCACAGCUUCUGGCCAAUCAGAAUCCAGGUGUAUAAAGGUGAACGGUUAUGACUAGUCUCACCUCAUGUGACAUUUUUUAAACAACAUAUAAAUUAUUUACUUUCUUGUUGCGUGUAAUAGGACAGAACCUGCUUACAGUCGCGACGGCUUUAUCUCUGAGAAACAGACAAACAGAGCUGAUAGCGUCGCUUAUCUCUCACAACAUUAAUAACAUCUCAGACGAAAAUAAGUGCUCGGUCCGUCCUUCUACACCGCGGCGACAGGCUGAGUCCAAAGAGUCUAUCGACUUUCAUUUCAGUGGUCGUUUCUUAAAAGGG